UCAUUCCAACCAGUCUGGUUUCUCUUCCUCUCUUUUUAAGGGAGGUAUUUAAUAUAAAAGAAAGCUUGUUGUAGACCAGUGUGACAGGAAAAAACGUAGGCAACGCCAAAUAAUGGAGGAAGCUGGUGAAAACGCGCCUCUGGAUAGGGCAGGCAGUGCUGAACGUUUGGUUGGUGAACCAAGAUCCAGACGUGGCUCCACUGGCUACGCCCUGAAAGUGGCAGGCCUGACUACUCUGGCAUGUCUGCUGCUGGCCAGUCAGGUGUUUGUAGCCUUCAUGGUGUUUGACCAAAGGCAACAGAUCCAAACGUUGCAGAAGGACUCCGACAAAUUAAGCAGGCAGCUGCACGCAACUCAAGUGGCUCCAAUAAAGAUUCGCGGGCCAAUUAACCACUUCCCAAUGAUGCAGGCAUUUGUGGAUUUGGACUCGGUGGCAACCAAGGCACCUGUGAAACAGGAAGAGAAGAAGAGUGAUUCUGUUGGCGUGGAUGAAAUGAUUGGUCUCAUGGAGGGCAACUUUGAGAUGCCCAAAUUCAACGACACCAUUCUGGGGAACAUGAAGGGCUUGAAGAAGCAGCUGAGCCAAAGUGACUGGAAGAGCUUUGAAUCUUGGCUGCGCAACUGGAUAAUCUUCAAGAUGUCUACAACCCCUACUGUUUGAAGAAACGAAGCCAAGUGCUGCAUAUUUCUUCAUCUGGUUGAUAUGCAUAAUAAUCAUUUCAUUUCAUAUAGGCUAUUGUAAGGGAACUCGCCUACUGUAGUGUGGCUUGCUACAUUAUUUGCUUGUUCAUUGUUCAUCAUCAUUAGUUGCUUGGUGUUACAUUGAUUGCUUGUUCACCGGAAAGGUUGUUCAGGGUUCUUCACGGCAUUUACAUCUAAAGAUCAAAAUAAACCACAGUAAUUUUUUUCGAGUUUUAUUUGAUUUGCAUUUAAAAAUAUUGGAGUUUUUUUUUUUAACACAGGCUCAUGUAUUAGCUCACACUGGAUUGUGCUCGCAUCUGCGUCAGUUUUGUCAUUUAACUGCAUGGAGAAAAAAUUUACACAAAAAAUAGUUUUUUUCAUAUAAAAUUGCAUGCAAAGUAUACAAAGCUUGGGUGAAUCAAUUUUUAGUGGUUAGCAAAGAACUUUAUUUUGGUGGAAAGAUGUUGCAAUAAAGUUUGAAUAGAUUCAAAAAACUUUGAUCACAAAUUGUGAGUAAUGUGUUGAACAAUAAACUCAGAACUGUUCAAA